GAUGAAGAACGCAGCGAAAUGCGAUAAGUAAUGUGAAUUGCAGAAUUCAGUGAAUCAUCGAAUCUUUGAACGCACAUUGCGCCCGCCAGUAUUCUGGCGGGCAUGCCUGUUCGAGCGUCAUCUCAACCAUCAAGCCCCAGGCUUGUGUUGGGGACCUGCGGCUGCCGCAGGCCCUGAAAACCAGUGGCGGGCUCGCUGUCACACCGGGCGUAGUAGAUUUUAUCUCGCUCAGGGCGUGCUGCGGGUUCCGGCCGUUAAAAAGCCUUUUUUACCCAAGGUUGACCUCGGAUCAGGUAGGAAGACCCGCUGAACUUAAGUAUAUCAAUAAGCGGAGGA
rnacentral:misc_RNA from 1 species